rnacentral:rRNA from 1 species
CGUAGGGCGCGAGCGUUGUCCGGAUUUAUUGGGCGUAAAGAGCUCGUAGGCGGCUUGUUGCGUCGACUGUGAAAACCCGCGGCUUAACCGCGGGCCUGCAGUUGAUACGGGCAGGCUAGAGUUCGGUAGGGGAGACUGGAAUUCCUGGUGUAGCGGUGAAAUGCGCAGAUAUCAGGAGGAACACCGGUGGCGAAGGCGGGUCUCUGGGCCGAUACUGACGCUGAGGAGCGAAAGCGUGGGGAGCGAACAGGAUUAGAUACCCUGGUAGUCCACGCUGUAAACGUUGGGCGCUAGGUGUGGGGGGCCUCUCCGGUUCUCUGUGCCGCAGCUAACGCAUUAAGCGCCCCGCCUGGGGAGUACGGCCGCAAGGCUA